UGGGGAAUAUUGGGCAAUGGGCGCAAGCCUGACCCAGCCACGCCGCGUGAGUGAUGAAGGCCUUCGGGUCGUAAAGCUCUGUGGGGAGGAACGAACCAGCCUCGGGAGUAAUCCCCCGGGGCCCUGACGGUACCUCCUUAGCAAGCACCGGCUAACUCCGUGCCAGCAGCCGCGGUAAUACGGAGGGUGCAAACGUUGCUCGGAAUCAUUGGGCGUAAAGCGCGCGCAGGCGGCCUGUUAAGUCGGGUGUGAAAGCCCUUGGCUUAACCGAGGAAGUGCAUUCGAAACUGGCAGGCUUGAGUACGGGAGAGGGUAGCGGAAUUCCCGGUGUAGAGGUGAAAUUCGUAGAUAUCGGGAGGAACACCAGUGGCGAAGGCGGCUACCUGGACCGAUACUGACGCUGAGGCGCGAAAGCGUGGGGAGCAAACAGG
rnacentral:rRNA from 1 species